rnacentral:rRNA from 1 species
GACGAACCGUGCGAACGUUGUUCGGAAUCACUGGGCUUAAAGGGCGCGUAGGCGGCUCGCGAGGUCGGGGGUGAAAUCCCACGGCUUAACCGUGGAAGGGCCUUCGAUACCGGCGGGCUGGAGGAAGGUAGGGGUGCGCGGAACUUCUGGUGGAGCGGUGAAAUGCGUUGAUAUCAGAAGGAACGCCGGCGGCGAAAGCGCGCACUGGACCUUACUGACGCUGAGGCGCGAAAGCCAGGGGAGCAAACGGG